AGCGAACGCUGGCGGCAGGCUUAACACAUGCAAGUCGAGCGGGCACUUUCGGGUGUCAGCGGCGGACGGGUGAGUAACGCGUGGGAACGUGCCCUCUGGUUCGGAAUAACUCAGGGAAACUUGAGCUAAUACCGGAUACGCCCUUUUGGGGAAAGGCUUGCUGCCGGAGGAUCGGCCCGCGUCUGAUUAGCUAGUUGGUGAGGUAACGGCUCACCAAGGCGACGAUCAGUAGCUGGUCUGAGAGGAUGAUCAGCCACACUGGGACUGAGACACGGCCCAGACUCCUACGGGAGGCAGCAGCGGGGAAUAUUGGACAAUGGGCGCAAGCCUGAUCCAGCCAUGCCGCGUGAGUGAUGAAGGCCUUAGGGUUGUAAAGCUCUUUUAUCCGGGACGAUAAUGACGGUACCGGAGGAAUAAGCCCCGGCUAACUUCGUG
rnacentral:rRNA from 1 species